GUGCCAGCAGCCGCGGUAAUACGGAGGGUGCGAGCGUUAAUCGGAAUCACUGGGCGUAAAGCGCACGUAGGCUGCUUGGUAAGUCAGGGGUGAAAGCCCGCGGCUCAACCGCGGAAUUGCCUUUGAUACUGCCGAGCUAGAGUCCGGGAGAGGGUAGUGGAAUUCCAGGUGUAGGAGUGAAAUCCGUAGAGAUCUGGAGGAACAUCAGUGGCGAAGGCGACUACCUGGACCGGUACUGACGCUGAGGUGC
rnacentral:rRNA from 1 species